CCAUGGUAACCACAUGAUGAAAAAUGCAAAAUGUGGACACGUUAGAAUAAAUGCAACAGGACUCAGUGGAAUGUGCUACUCAGGCACUGGAGACAUAUGUCAUAGAAAAGGACAUUGUGGCCCAUAUCCAGAAGAAAUUUGACAGGAAGUACAAUCCCAUCCGGUAUUGCAUCAUGUGGGGGAGCCUAGGCAAUUCUGUCACACGUGAAGCCAAACACUUCAUCUACUUCUACCUGGGCCAGCUGGCUAUUUUUUUGUUCAAAUCUGGUU
rnacentral:lncRNA from 1 species